GAUGAAGAACGUAGCGAAAUGCGAUAAGUAAUGUGAAUUGCAGAAUUCAGUGAAUCAUCGAAUCUUUGAACGCACAUUGCGCCCCCUGGUAUUCCGGGGGGCAUGCCUGUUCGAGCGUCAUUUCACCACUCAAGUCUCGCUUGGUAUUGGGCAACGCGGUCCGCCGCGUGCCUCAAAUCGACCGGCUGGGUCUUCUGUCCCCUAAGCGUUGUGGAAACUUUCGCUAAAGGGUGUUCGGGAGGCUACGCCGUAAAACAACCCCAUUUCUAAGGUUGACCUCGGAUCAGGUAGGGAUACCCGCUGAACUUAAGCAUAUCAAUGAGCGGAGGA
rnacentral:misc_RNA from 1 species